rnacentral:rRNA from 1 species
CCUACGGGUGGCAGCAGUGGGGAAUAUUGGACAAUGGGGGAAACCCUGAUCCAGCGACGCCGCGUGAGUGAAGAAGUAUUUCGGUAUGUAAAGCUCUAUCAGCAGGGAAGAAAAUGACGGUACCUGACUAAGAAGCCCCGGCUAACUACGUGCCAGCAGCCGCGGUAAUACGUAGGGGGCAAGCGUUAUCCGGAUUUACUGGGUGUAAAGGGAGCGUAGACGGCAUCACAAGUCUGAAGUGAAAGGACGGGGCUUAACCCCGGGACUGCCUUGGAAACUGUAAAGCUAGAGUGCAGGAGAGGUAAGCGGAAUUCCUAGUGUAGCGGUGAAAUGCGUAGAUAUUAGGAGGAACACCAGUGGCGAAGGCGGCUUACUGGACUGUAACUGACGUUGAGGCUCGAAAGCGUGGGGAGCAAACAGGAUUAGAUACCCGUGUAGUC